AUGAUGGACGAUGGCAGUCGGCCGACCCUCUUGACGCCCUCCUCGAAGACCACACCCAUGCCCAUGAAGACGUGCGCCUCCACGUGGCAGUGGAACAACCACACCCCCGGGUUGUCCGCCCGGAACCGCACCGCCGUCCACCCAUCCGGGUGCAGUGGCACGGUGUUCUUCAUGAUCGGGUCCCUCACGUUGAGCAGCCUCCAGGCGUCCGCGGCAGGGUUGAACUUACCUUCGCCGUGGCCGAGCACCCAGAAGUCGUGCCCGUGUAGAUGCCACGGGUGCGUCUCGGUCUUGUUGUUGAGCGCGUUGGAGUUCUGCAGCACCACGUCCACCACGGAGCCGAGCGCCAGCCUGUACACCGGGCUGCCCACGGUCCCGUUCGUCGGCGCCGGCGCGGAGAUUUCGUGGCUCAUGUGGUCGUACAUGUCGGGCGGGGGGCGCUGUUCGUACGCGUCUUUCAUGCCGCGCUUCAUCGCCACGAGAUACGGCGUGGCCGGGAACAUGAGCGACACGCCAUUGAUGGUCCACUUGAUGUGGCCAUCAAUCCGGUUCUGGGUGUUGAGGAGGAGCAGCGUGCGGUCGGCCCUCGCCGGCAUGGGCACGACGUAG
rnacentral:rRNA from 1 species